ACAGAGGGUGCAAGCGUUAAUCGGAAUUACUGGGCGUAAAGAGCACGUAGGUGGAUACCUAAGUCGAAUGUGAAAUCCCUGGGCUUAACCUAGGAACUGCAUACGAUACUGGGUGUCUAGAGUAUGGUAGAGGGAAGUGGAAUUUCCGGAGUAGCGGUGAAAUGCGUAGAUAUCGGAAGGAACACCAGUGGCGAAGGCGGCUUCCUGGACUAAUACUGACACUGAGGUGCGAAAGCAUGGGGAGCAAACAGGA
rnacentral:rRNA from 1 species